UACGGAGGGUGCGAGCGUUGUCCGGAAUCAUUGGGCGUAAAGGGCGCGUAGGUGGCGGGACAAGCGUGCGGUGAAAGCUCGGGGCUCAACCCCGCGUCGGCCGUGCGAACUGUUUUUGCUUGAGCACUGUAGAGGCAGGCGGAAUUCCGGGUGUAGCGGUGGAAUGCGCAGAUAUCAGGAGGAACACCGAUGGCGAAGGCAGCUCGCUGGGACGGUACUGACGCUGAGGCGCGAAAGCGUGGGGAGCAAACAGG
rnacentral:rRNA from 1 species